rfam:Populus trichocarpa scaffold_8_contig_207, whole genome shotgun sequence.
UAUAGAACUCGAGAUAUGGGCUGAACACUGAACAAUAUCUGGGCUGCAGGACAGAUUCUGACUUCUCCGUUGUUGCUAAGAUUUGGACUUCCAAACAAUAGAAUUGAGUCUUGUACUCCUCAUGAAUGUCUUAGGCCUAUGGCUUAACUUUCUAUA